AAACUCUUCUUCUCCUCCCUCUUAGAGUUGCAACAACGAACUCUGCUAGGGUUUGGCCUCAGUUAGCUCAAACUCAUUUCUCUUCCACCUCACGAAUUUGCUCCUGGAGCUAUAGUGCUCAGCUAUUUGGGAGUCUAUGUCUUUUGUUAGCCUUUUCCAGAUGUGGGAACUCCUCGUGGUCAUUAGGGUGAUGGAAACUCCGCUGCGUAGCUUAUCUUGGGUUGGAUCCCCUUACUCCGAGUUUUCUUUUA